rnacentral:rRNA from 1 species
AUUGAACGCUGGCGGCAGGCCUAACACAUGCAAGUCGAACGGUAACAGGAAGAGGCUUGCUUCUUUGCUGACGAGUGGCGGACGGGUGAGAAAUGUCUGGGAAACUGCCUGAUGGCGGGGGAUAACUACUGGAAACGGUAGCUAAUACCGCAUAACGUCGCAAGCCCAAAGAGGGAGACCUUCGGGCCUCUUGCCAUCGGCUGUGCCCAGAUGGGGUUCGCUAGUAGGUGGGGUAACAGCUUACCGAGGCGACAAGCCCUUGCUGGUCUGAGAGGAUGACGAGCCACACUGGAACUGAGACACGGUCCAGACUCCUACGGGAGGCAGCAGGGGGGAAUAUUGCACAAUGGGCGGAAGCCUUAUGCAGCCAUGCCGCGUGUAUGAAGAAGGCCUUCCGGUUGUAAAGUACUUUUAGCGGGGAGGAAGGGAGUAAAGUUAAUACCGUGGCUAAUUGACGUUACCCGAAGAAGAAGCACCGGUUAACUCCGUG